UAGGGAAUCUUCCGCAAUGGACGCAAGUCUGACGGAGCAACGCCGCGUGAGUGAAGAAGGAUUUCGGUUCGUAAAACUCUGUUGUUAGAGAAGAACAGCGCAUAGAGUAACUGUUAUGCGUGUGACGGUAUCUAACCAGAAAGCCACGGCUAACUACGUGCCAGCAGCCGCGGUAAUACGUAGGUGGCAAGCGUUGUCCGGAUUUAUUGGGCGUAAAGCGAGCGCAGGCGGUCAAUUAAGUCUGAUGUGAAAGCCCCCGGCUCAACCGGGGAGGGUCAUUGGAAACUGUGUAACUUGAGUGCAGAAGGGGAGAGUGGAAUUCCAUGUGUAGCGGUGAAAUGCGUAGAUAUAUGGAGGAACACCGGUGGCGAAAGCGGCUCUCUGGUCUGUAACUGACGCUGAGGCUCGAAAGCGUGGGGAGCGAACAGG
rnacentral:rRNA from 1 species